rnacentral:lncRNA from 1 species
CGUCAUUUUCCUUUCCUUUCUUCUUCUGUAAUAACAGGUCCCUUCUUCCACCACUUCACUGCCUCCAUCUCCACCAAACCCACCAGAAUUUCUUCAAUAAAAAAAAAAUUACGCUCCAUAUAUUCAUCCAUUAAAUGGACAAGAGGGGUUGCUCUGAUGGUAAGCAACCUCCACUUCCAACCAAGAGGUUGUAAGUUCGAGUCACCCCAAGAGCAAGGUGGGGAGUUCUAGGAGGGAAGAUGACGAUGGUCUAUUGGAAACAGCCUCUCUAUUUCAUGGUAGAGGUAAGGUUGCGUACACACUACCCUUCCCACACCCCACUAGUAAAAUUAUAUUGGAUUAUUGUUGUUGUAUAUUCAUCCGUUAAAUCACACCCACCACCACUUUGAUUGCCACAUCGAUAUUUUUUUUUAAAAAAAGCUUAGAAAACUUCAACAAAAAAAACAGCAUAAUAGAAAUCAUCUCCGGUACAUUUUUCUCCUUCAAAACUCUUUCGUUUCUUCCUAAGAGUCAUCUCCAGUACAUUUUUCUCUUAUUUUCUUUUUCUUUUUCUUCUUCUUAUUUUUCGCCGGAAACAAUGGUGAUUCCGGUGACACUUUAAACAAUGGAGAUAUUUAAUAUAAAAAAGAAGAUGAAGAAAUAGGUGGGGAGAUUGGAUGUAACGAGAAAAAGAAGAAGCCAUAAAUAAAAAAAUUUGAAAUUAAAAAACCAAAUACAAGAACUAAUCAGCUGGGGGAAGAGAUAGCUAGGGAGUGCGGGGAUGAUGAAGGAGGCUUGGUGGCGUGGGGUGGGGGUUGGGGAUAAAGAAAAGGAAAAAAUAAUGGAGAGAAAAACUAAAUAAUAAAUGAAAAAGAUAUUAUGCGGUUUAUAAAACACAUGUCAAAAUAUGAUUGGUUCGUGUGGUAUUUAUUAUAUUUCAAAUAAAGACAUAGGACCUACAAAGUAUGAGGGUGUUAGAUGCGGAUUCAAAAUUUAAAUUUUAUGAGUUCAAUAUUUAAAGUUCUUAGUAUUGAACCCAUUAAAUUUUUUAAACUAUAGGUUCAAUCUACUAUUUAUUGUAAUUUUAGUGAAUUUUUACACAUUAAUUUAUAUUACGCGUCAAAAGAUAUGGAUUCAAUUGGACCCGUCACUAAAGUGCUACAUCCGUCCCUGGAGGGUGUAACUGGUAAAUUGGAACAACCCUAACGGGUAACUAUGUAUUAUCCUAUUACAAAUCAAACAAAACAACUUGGGAAACACAUUUAUUAGUUGAAACACAUAUAUUUUCUCUCACUAUAAUGGCAUCUUUGUAUCUCCUCAAUAUCUCCUCAAGUAAUUGUCUUCUCUCUCUAUGUUUGUGUUUCUAGCUAAGAAGAGAGAGAAAAAAGUUGAGAAUAAUAGUAAGUACUAACUGAUGUGAGGCGGAUUUUCUCAGAGAUAGGCUGUGUAGCCAUUUACCCUCGACUGCUGAAGGAAAUUUCAUUGAAGCCAGUAGAAAGAAUACAGCCAUACAGAACUUUUACGUAUAUAGAACUUUUAUGUUUUUUUAGUGUAAUUUAACUUUUAUAGAGGUUAUUUCCUUUGCUUUUUGGAUUAUCAGAUCAUAUUAGUUACAAAUAAUUAUCUAUUAUUGUGAGUAAUUUAACUUAAUGGUGUAAAACUAUUAACAUAAUUAUCAGUGUACGACAAUUAAACUUUUCUAUUUACAAGUUUCACCAAAGUUAUCUAUUCUAACCCAUGUAAUUAAGAAUAUAGUACAAUUGGAUGGUAAAAGUCACAUUUCUCCGCUCUUAAUUAACGGUCUUCAUUUCAAGUUUUAAAAUUGAAGUCUUUUAUGGGAGGAUGCUUUACAACCUGUAAUAGGCCUUCUCCGCAUGAGUCCAAAUUAGUCGAGC